rnacentral:rRNA from 1 species
GCAUUCCUACGGGGGGCAGCAGUGAGGAAUAUUGGUCAAUGGUCGGGAGACUGAACCAGCCAAGCCGCGUGAGGGAGGAAGGUACAGAGUAUUGUAAACCUCUUUUGUCAGGGAACAAAGACUGGGACGCGUCCCCGGAUGAGUGUACCUGAAGAAAAAGCAUCGGCUAACUCCGUGCCAGCAGCCGCGGUAAUACGGAGGAUGCGAGCGUUAUCCGGAUUUAUUGGGUUUAAAGGGUGCGCAGGCGGUCUGUUAAGUCAGCGGUCAAAGCCCGGGGCUCAAACCCGGCACGCCGUUGCAACUGG